CCACCAUGCCGCGUGCGGGAAAAGGCCUUCGGGUUGUAAACCGCUUUUGGCAGGAACGAAACGGCGCUUGAUAAUACCUAGCGCUAAUGACGGUACCUGCAGAAUAAGCACCGGCUAACUACGUGCCAGCAGCCGCGGUAAUACGUAGGGUGCAAGCGUUAAUCGGAAUUACUGGGCGUAAAGCGUGCGCAGGCGGCUGUGCAAGACAGGUGUGAAAUCCCCGGGCUUAACCUGGGAACUGCAUUUGUGACUGCAUAGCUAGAGUCCGUAAGAGGGGGGUGGAAUUCCACGUGUAGCAGUGAAAUGCGUAGAGAUGUGGAGGAACACCGAUGGCGAAGGCAGCCCCCUGGGAUGAGACUGACGCUCAUGUACGAAAGCGUGGGGAGCAAACAGGAUUAGAUACCCUGGUAGUCCACGCCCUAAACGAUGUCAACUAGUUGUCGGGCCUUUACAGGCUUGGUAACGCAGCUAACGCGUGAAGUUGACCGCCUGGGGAGUACGGUCGCAAGAUUAAAACUCAAAGGAAUUGACGGGGACCCGCACAAGCGGUGGAUGAUGUGGAUUAAUUCGAUGCAACGCGAAAAACCUUAC
rnacentral:rRNA from 1 species